rnacentral:rRNA from 1 species
AAAUUGUAGUAAUACUAAUUACGAAAGCAAAAAAUUAUGGCGGUAUUUUAAGCUUUUCAGAGGAAUUUGCUCUUUAAUGGAUAAAACACCUAAAUCUUACUUAAAUUAGUGCUUUUCAGUUUGUAUACCACUAUUAUAAUAAUAAUUUAUUAUUAUUAUUGAUAUUCUUGCAUUUAGAAGAAAAUUAAGUCAAGGUGCAGCAUAAAUUUAUGAAUGAAGUGAAUUACAUUUCUUUCUAGAAAAAAAAAAUUGAAAUAAGACAUUUAGGAUUUGAUAGUAAAAUUAAAAUACAAAGUUAAUUUGAAUUAGGCUCUAAAAUAUGUACACAUCGCCCGUC